GCGAUGAUAACGAGUCGCAUUUUCAGAAAAUAGAUAGAAAGAAAUUGAUCAACUGUCAAGCACAGGGUAAUUUGUAAACACCUAUAUAAGACAUGUAUGGGUUCUUUGAGUGCUCGAAAUGCAAGUGUAGAUGGGAAAGUGCUAAGGUUACUCCUAAGCAUAUCCGAGAUCAGGAAUGUGAAGUUUUGUUACUAGACCGUUGAUAGUGUGGAUUUGUCUUCGUCGCUUGGGCAAAGCCAAUGGGAUUAAAGUCUAAAUACACCGUUCAGAUGUACAGCCGCCGAUGCGGAUGGGUCCAGUAGCUAACAUCCUUAAAAGACAUGAAAAACAGACUUUUUCAGCUGUAUGAUUAGAGGCGGGAGACUUUUUACUCCAGGACUCCAGGGUAUUAUGGCCAACAAUGUAAGUCCUGCAAUAUUAUGUGCCAGCCGUACAGGGUGGAGGAGACCAAAUGCUCGCGGUGCGGUAUGGUUGCCAUGACCUGCGGAUGUGACAAAACCCGCCACACAGACCCGAGGAAGCCCCAUCGCAGCGACCUCUGUGAGAAAUGUCGAUCUGGGAGGCCGUGCCAGUAGUAAACAACGCUGGCAUCAAACAUGCAAAUGACAUAACCUUAUCAAUUUUAUUUUCCGUUAUUUUGAGGGCCUCAUGGAUUGAACAAACAUAUAUUUUUGUGAUUUUAAAUUAUUUAUCAGCACAUGUUUCUACAGCAGUUUCGAGAUGACAGAAUGUUGAAAUGACACAAUUAAAUAAAACGUUUGUAGCUUGUAAUUCUGUCUCGAAUAAUUUCUGACAGAAUGUGUAAAUUUCUUAAAACAUUAAUAUUAAAUACUGUAAAAUAAUUCAGCAUCAAAAAUAUUUAUCUUUAAAACAAAUAUAUAUAUACGAUUUGUUAUUAUAUGUUUAGUGAAUGUGGUGAGUAUGCUGUAUUUUAUAUAAUUUGCGUGUACAAUGUGAUGAAAAUUAAACGUUUUAAGCAUCGAAAAUGUCAUGCCAAUGUAUUUUCUCACUACUUGAUCAAUUAUCUAUUAGGAAGUUUAGAGCUCCAAACAAAACCAUGAGUACUAUUCAAUUCCUUAAAAACUCAAAACCUUGUGUUGUGCUUUACAUGUUGGACUUUCUGACCUCGCUUAUGAAACUCUCGUUCUCUUAAAAACCACUUACAACAGUCUAUAUUAUACAGAUACCCAGCAAUACAUUAAUUCAAACAACCCUCAUGUGGGAAAUUCAGUGUUCGAACCCUAUUUACAUUUGUAAUCAUAUGAAACGUCGUAUAUCAGGUACAAAUUAAAGUCAUUUUCUCGCAUGAUUUCUCUAACCCAGCAUGUGUUUACCAGUAAAACACCAUAGAUACUAACAC